rnacentral:lncRNA from 1 species
ACCAUAUGCUGGAAUUAUAUUUUUCCUGAUCCCAAAAAAACACAUUGCAAAAUCAAUUCAAAAUGUUAUCUGAAAAAAUAAAGACAUUGUCGUGAAUGCAGGAUAUUCGAAAAUUGCAGUACUAUUCCCAAAACGGGUGUACUACGACAUAAUUAUUAAUAAAGUCAAUUAAAACUUAAAAUUUUAAAAUAUAAAAACGAAGCGUCGAUCAUUGUGCACCCAUUUUGCAAGAAUUCUUAUUAUGGCCCCCCAUCCUCUUACACUUGCCACACCUGAUGCUGCGGGGUACCAAUUCACCUCAAUGCAAUUUUGAAAUCGCUACUGAUCUGCCGGAAUUGAUAACAUAUGUAUACACCUUUAAAGACAUAACAAUCGAUAGCAGUCGAUAAGUAGCGAUAAAAACCAUAUGUAUACACCUUAAAAGUUUAUUUACAUAAUCGAUCACAUAAAAACCACUCUGCAAUUUUGAAAAUCGCUACUGAUCAGCAAGAAUGGGUAACAUGUGUAUACACCUUAAAAGACAUAACAAUCGAUAACAAUCGAUUAAAAACAUAUGUAUACACCUUUGAAGAUUAUUUACAGAAUCGAACAACCCAGAAAAAAUUUAAUAACAUGUGUAUACACCUUAAAAGACAUAACAAUCGAUAACAAU